rnacentral:lncRNA from 1 species
UUUUGCCUCUUUUGUGAAAUUGAUUCCCAAGUUGAAAGUUCUAGGUUGGAAUUGUAGCUUAGUGGUAGAGCGCUUGCCUAGCACAUGGCAGCACUGGGUUCGAUCUACAGCACCACAUAAAAAUAAAUAAAAUAAUGAUAUUGUGAAAAAAAAAUCUUAAAAAAAAACACUCAUUCAGUUUUGGGUCUGAAGUUCAAUUCCCAUUGAUUUAUGCAACUCCAAUGAAUUAUCAGUAGAUGGCAGUAGAUUGUUUUUAUUUGUUUCCAUUCUAUUGUAGAGAUACAGAAAAAGCUCACAUACCCAAUUUUACAGCAGAUAUCCUUUCAUGAUUAGUUGGUAUAAAUAAAUUACAUGCACGAGUUCUUCAGCUUAUGUUGCUUUAGAAAAAGAUAGUCAAGAAGUAGCAGUUAUUUGAUUAUUUUCAUUGUAUAAAUCUAAUUGGCUUCAUUCUUUAAGUUACUUCAUCAAAUAUUCUAGGGAAUACAAAAAUGAAUAACACAUUGUAUUUGCCCUUUUGCAGUUUAUAGUCGAAGGGGAAAGAUAGUGUAAAAUAAUGGAAUUAAUAAGAAUAAAUGUGUUGAAUACUCACCAUGUGGUAGGAAUUUGCUAAGGGCUUUAUAUGCAUUAUUUAAUUUCAUGCAUUGUCCUUGUAGUAACACUAAUGAGGCAGGUACUGUUGUUCCCAUGUAUAAAUAAGGAUUCUGAGGCUCAGGUUAGAAAUAAUUUACCUAAUAAGCUAUGAAGUGGC